ensembl:snoRNA
AGUGCUUGAACUCAAGGUCUGGCAAGAAUAUAAACGUUCUUAAAGACAGGUGCAAAAAUGAAUCCUCCUUUACAAUCCAGAGCUCAUUGUUCAGUAUGAGUUUUGAAGCAUACAAGAAGCAAUAUG